rnacentral:rRNA from 1 species
AUUGAACGCUGGCGGCAGGCCUAACACAUGCAAGUCGAACGAGUGGCGGACGGGUGAGUAAUGGUUGGGAAUCUAGCUGAUGGAGGGGGAUAGCUACGGGAAACUGUAGCUAAUACCGCGUACCAUAGGAUCAGCCCAAGUGGGAUUAGGUAGUUGGUGGGGUAAAGGCUCACCAAGACGACGAUCUCUAGCUGGUCUGAGAGGAUGACCAGCCACCUUGGAACUGAGACACGGCCCAGACUCCUCCGGGAGGCAGCAGUGGGGAAUAUUGCGCAAUGGGGGCAACCUGACGCAGCCAUGCCGCGUGAAUGAAGAAGGCCUUCGGGUUGUAAAGUUCUUUCGGUAGGGAGGCGUUAACUACAGAAGAAGCACCGGCUAACUCCGUGCCAGCAGCCGCGGUAAUAC